UAUAACCCUGUAAUCGGCAUACAAAUCAAACAUUCAUACUGCUGCCACAUUACUGACUUCGUAGCUAGGAAAUGCUGCUCGGAGUCGAACAAGAAGAUAGCUUGAUCAUCAGGAAGAUCCUUCUAACUCAUGAUCCGGAUGGCCGUUGUGUUGACUCUAGGAUGUUGCUUCAAAUGAUAGAGAAUGUCAUGUGCUAUGCUACAACAGCUUCAUGUCAUGUUUCACAAACACUAGCUGAGACGCUAUUGGGAAGCAGCAACAGGGUUGCUGGAACACACAAAGAUCUUUAGAAAACAAUUCACAAUGUCUCGUGUGAGAUAUUAUGUGAAUGCUCUCGACAAGAAGAUUUGCAUGCAAGGACAAUGUCGUUAUUCGAG